UGGGGAAUAUUGCGCAAUGGGCGAAAGCCUGACGCAGCAAUGCCGCGUGAAUGAUGAAGGUUCUAGGAUUGUAAAGUUCUUUUAGCAGGGAAGAUAGUGACGGUACCUGCAGAAAAAGUCCCGGCUAACUCCGUGCCAGCAGCCGCGGUAAUACGGAGGGGGCGAGCGUUGUUCGGAUUUACUGGGCGUAAAGGGUCCGUAGGUGGUUUGGAAAGUUAGAUGUGAAAGCCCGGAGCUCAACUCCGGAAUUGCAUUUAAAACUCCCAAACUAGAAUCAUAGAGAGGAUAGUGGAAUUUCCAGUGUAGAGGUGAAAUUCGUAGAUAUUGGAAGGAACACCAGAGGCGAAGGCGACUAUCUGGCUAUGUAUUGACACUGAGGGACGAAAGCGUGGGGAGCAAACAGG
rnacentral:rRNA from 1 species